UACAGAGGGUGCGAGCGUUGUUCGGAAUUAUUGGGCGUAAAGGGCGCGUAGGCGGUGCGGUAAGUCACCUGUGAAAUCUCCCGGCUCAACCGGGAGCUUGCAGGCGAAACUGCCGUGCUGGAGUGUGGGAGAGGCGAGUGGAAUUCCCAGUGUAGCGGUGAAAUGCGUAGAUAUUGGGAGGAACACCAGUGGCGAAGGCGGCUCGCUGGACCGGUUCUGACGCUGAUGCGCGAAAGCGUGGGGAGCAAACGGG
rnacentral:rRNA from 1 species